rnacentral:rRNA from 1 species
UUGAACGCUGGCGGCAUGCUUUACACCUGCAAGUCGAACGGCAGCGCGGGCUUCGGCCUGGCGGCGAGUGGCGAACGGGUGAGUAAUACAUCGGAACGUGCCCAGUAGUGGGGGAUAGCUCGGCGAAAGCCGGAUUAAUACCGCAUACGACCUGAGGGUGAAAGCGGGGGAUCUUCGGACCUCGCGCUAUUGGAGCGGCCGAUGGCAGAUUGGCUAGUUGGUGGGGUAAAGGCCUACCAAGGCGACGAUCCGUAGCUGGUCUGAGAGGACGACCAGCCACACUGGGACUGAGACACGGCCCAGACUCCUACGGGAGGCAGCAGUGGGGAAUUUUGGACAAUGGGCGAAAGCCUGAUCCAGCAAUGCCGCGUGUGUGAUGAAGGCCUUCGGGUUGUAAAGCACUUUUGGCGGGAACGAAAAGGACUGUGCCAAUACCACGGUUCGAUGACGGUACCCGCAGAAUAAGCACCGGCUAACUACGUG